rnacentral:rRNA from 1 species
CCUACGGGUGGCAGCAGUGAGGAAUAUUGGUCAAUGGACGAGAGUCUGAACCAGCCAAGUAGCGUGAAGGAUGACUGCCCUAUGGGUUGUAAACUUCUUUUAUAUGGGAAUAAAAUGUUCCACGUGUGGGAUUUUGUAUGUACCAUAUGAAUAAGGAUCGGCUAACUCCGUGCCAGCAGCCGCGGUAAUACGGAGGAUCCGAGCGUUAUCCGGAUUUAUUGGGUUUAAAGGGAGCGUAGGUGGAUUGUUAAGUCAGUUGUGAAAGUUUGCGGCUCAACCGUAAAAUUGCAGUUGAAACUGGCAGUCUUGAGUACAGUAGAGGUGGGCGGAAUUCGUGGUGUAGCGGUGAAAUGCUUAGAUAUCACGAAGAACUCCGAUUGCGAAGGCAGUUCACUGGACUGCAACUGACACUGAGGCUCGAGAGUGUGGGUAUCAAACAGGAUUAGAUACCCUUGUAGUC